rnacentral:tRNA from 1 species
GACUCCAUGGCCCAAUGGAUAAGGUGCUGGUCCGAAACCAUAGAUUCAGGGUUCGAUCCCCAGUGGAGUCG